rnacentral:lncRNA from 1 species
GCCAGCUCACUUUGCUUUCAACUUCCAAGUCCACUGAAAGUUUCCAGUCCCGGGAUUUUAGGAAGAAGAAAGAAGAUACUAGACAUUUCUGUGAAGAAUCAGACACUUAAAGAGGUUAAGUCGCGUACCUGAAGUUACACUGGGGAGACCAGGAGCAAACUUGCAUCUGUCUGACCUCAAAGCCCUGCUUCUAAGCAGCCAGGGAGCAGUGGGAUCCAGUGCAGAGAUGGGGAGGAGGGGCUCUGCCACUCCCAGCCUGGGAAUGAAGUGGAGCCAAUGGCAAGAGCUUCCCUAGGGCUGGGUCAAACCUCCCUGCUCCAGGCAUGAAGAGAAAGGAAAAGGCUGCUCCAGGUGGGGGAAGUCUGGUCCAGCUCCUUGUUAAAGAAGAAACAGGAAAAUACAGCAACAGGGGGAAGUCACAGGGGAACUGACAUUUUGUCAAAAGAUGAUGGGUUUCUGGCUCUCUCCUGCUUUCCAACUUUCCCUGGAUCCCCACUGCCUACAGGUCUCCACUUUAAGCUCCACCACCCAGCAUCCAGCACUGUCCAGGACCCAGCCUCUCCUCCCACUUCAGCUGCUCUGCCACCAGACUGCCCCUUGUGCCCAGCACCUGGGCUCCAGCCCACUUCCAAUCUCACCUUUUCCCACUGUUACCCAUCUCUAUAUUUUGGCUCUUCAGCUCCAGCCUGUCAAAACUCUGUCUAGCUUUCAAAGCCCAGGCAUCUCACCUCCCUAACAAGCCCCCCAAUUUCUCCAAGCAAU